GACAGAGGAUGCAAGCAUUAUCCGGAAUGAUUGGGCGUAAAGCGUCUGUAGGUGGCUUUUUAAGUCCGCCGUCAAAUCCCAGGGCUCAACCCUGGACAGGCGGUGGAAACUACCAAGCUGGAGUACGGUAGGGGCAGAGGGAAUUUCCGGUGGAGCGGUGAAAUGCGUAGAGAGUCGGAAAAGAACACCGAACGGCAGAAAGCGCUCUGCCUGG
rnacentral:rRNA from 1 species